rnacentral:rRNA from 1 species
AGGAAUAUUGGUCAAUGGCCGCGAGGCUGAACCAGCCAAGUAGCGUGCGGGAGGAAGGCCCUAUGGGUUGUAAACCGCUUUUAUACGGGAGUAAAGAGCUUCACGUGUGGAGCCUUGCAAGUACCGUAGGAAUAAGGACCGGCUAAUUCCGUGCCAGCAGCCGCGGCAAUACGGAAGGUCCGGGCGUUAUCCGGAUUUAUUGGGUUUAAAGGGAGCGCAGGCCGCCUGUCAAGCGUGUUGUGGAAAUGUAGGGGCCCAACCCCUGAGGUUGCAGCGCGAACUGGGGGGCUUGAAGUAGGCACAUCGCUGGUGGAACUCACUGUGAAGCGGAGAAAUACUUAGAUAGAUAGAAGAUACUCCGAUUGCGAAGUCAGCUGGCGGGGGCGCAACUAACGCUCGUGCUCGAAAGUGCGGGUAUCGAACAGGAUUAGAUACCCUGGUAGUCCGCACGGUAAAACGAUGGAUGCCCGCUAUGCGCGCUUAGUCGUGCGUGGCCAAGCGAAAGCGUUAAGCAUCCCACCUGGGGAGUACGCCGGCAACGGUGAAACUCAAAGGAAUUGACGGGGGCCCGCACAAGCGGAGGAACAUGUGGUUUAAUUCGAUGAUACGCGAGGAACCUUACCCGGGCUUGAAUUGCAGACGAACGACCAAGAGAUUGGAAGGCCCUCCGGGGCGUCUGUGAAGGUGCUGCAUGGUUGUCGUCAGCUCGUGCCGUGAGGUGUCGGCUUAAGUGCCAUAACGAGCGCAACCCCUUUCUCCAGUUGCCAUCAGGCGAUGCUGGGCACUCUGGAGACACUGCCACCGUAAGGUGUGAGGAAGGUGGGGAUGACGUCAAAUCAGCACGGCCCUUACGUCCGGGGCUACACACGUGUUACAAUGGGUGGUACAGAGAGUUGGUCGUUUGCAAAUGCGAUCUAAUCAUGAAAGCCAUCCUCAGUUCGGAUUGGGGUCUGCAACCCGACCCCAUGAAGCUGGAUUCGCUAGUAAUCGCGCAUCAGCCAUGGCGCGGUGAAUACGUUCCCGGGCCUUGCACUCACCGCCCGUCAAG